rnacentral:rRNA from 1 species
GAGUUUUGAUCCUGGCUCAGGGAUGAAACGCUAGCUACAGGCUUAACACAUGCAAGUCGAGGGGGCAGCAUGGUCUUAGCUUGCUAAGGCCGAUGGCGACCGGCGCACGGGUGAGUAACACGUAUCCAACCCUGCCGUCUACUCUUGGACAGCCUUCUGAAAGGAAGAUUAAUACAAGAUGGCAUCAUGAGUCCACAUGUUCACAUGAUUAAAGGUAUUCCGGUAGACGAUGGGGGAUGCGUUCCAUUAGAUAGUAGGCGGGGUAACGGCCCACCUAGUCUUCGAUGGAUAGGGGUUCUGAGAGGAAGGUCCCCCACAUUGGAACUGAGACACGGUCCAAACUCCUACGGGAGGCAGCA